UACAGAGGUCCCAAGCGUUGUUCGGAUUUAUUGGGCGUAAAGGGUGCGUAGGCGGUGUGUCGCGUCGGCCGUGAAAACCUGCAGCUUAACUGUGGGCUUGCGGUCGAUACGGGCAUCACUGGAGUUCGGCAGGGGAGACUGGAAUUCCUGGUGUAGCGGUGAAAUGCGCAGAUAUCAGGAGGAACACCGGUGGCGAAGGCGGGUCUCUGGGCCGAUGACUGACGUGAGGAGCGAAAGCGUGGGGAGCGAACAGG
rnacentral:rRNA from 1 species